rnacentral:rRNA from 1 species
UACGUAGGGAGCAAGCGUUGUCCGGAUUUACUGGGUGUAAAGGGUGCGUAGGCGGCUUUGCAAGUCAGAAGUGAAAUCCAUGGGCUUAACCCAUGAACUGCUUUUGAAACUGCGGAGCUUGAGUGGAGUAGAGGUAGGCGGAAUUCCCGGUGUAGCGGUGAAAUGCGUAGAGAUCGGGAGGAACACCAGUAGCGAAGGCGGCCUGCUGGGCUCUAACUGACGCUGAGGCACGAAAGCGUGGGUAGCAAACAGG